rnacentral:rRNA from 1 species
AGUGGCGGACGGGUGAGUAACGCGUGGGUAACCUGCCUCACACAGGGGGAUAACAGUUGGAAACGGCUGCUAAUACCGCAUAAGCGCACAGUACCGCAUGGUACAGUGUGAAAAACUCCGGUGGUGUGAGAUGGACCCGCGUCUGAUUAGCUAGUUGGCAGGGCAACGGCCUACCAAGGCGACGAUCAGUAGCCGACCUGAGAGGGUGACCGGCCACAUUGGGACUGAGACACGGCCCAAACUCCUACGGGAGGCAGCAGUGGGGAAUAUUGCACAAUGGGGGAAACCCUGAUGCAGCGACGCCGCGUGAGCGAAGAAGUAUUUCGGUAUGUAAAGCUCUAUCAGCAGGGAAGAAGAAAUGACGGUACCUGACUAAGAAGCACCGGCUAAAUACGUGCCAGCAGCCGCGGUAAUACGUAGGGGGCAAGCGUUAUCCGGAUUUACUGGGUGUAAAGGGAGCGUAGGCGGCGGAGCAAGUCAGAAGUGAAAGCCCGGGGCUCAACCCCGGGACGGCUUUUGAAACUGCCCUGCUUGAUUUCAGGAGAGGUAAGCGGAAUUCCUAGUGUAGCGGUGAAAUGCGUAGAUAUUAGGAGGAACACCAGUGGCGAAGGCGGCUUACUGGACUGACAAUGACGCUGAGGCUCGAAAGCGUGNGGAGCAAACAGGANUAGAUACCCUGGUAGUCCACGCCGU